GGGCCUUUAGCUCAGUCGGUUAGAGCAGUUGACUCAUAAUCAAUUGGUCCCUGGUUCGAGCCCAGGAAGGCCCA
rnacentral:tRNA from 1 species